rnacentral:snoRNA from 1 species
CCGCCCUGUGCCUCGCUCAAUUGACUCUGACUUUUUUUGAAAUGUCGUCUAGGGUUGAUUUCGAGCUGGAUGUAUCCUGCGUUUACAACACGAGACGGGCCAUAUGGAGUUUUUAUUUAUUUGGAGACUCUGUGGUGGUUCGCCCCGUGGUGGGUAUUACAAAGGGCCAGAUAAAACAUGAGCAAGAACCUUAUGAGUACGUUUUCUCCAAAUCGGUCCUUGAGGCCGGUUGAUGGUGAACGCGUAAUUACUAGGUUGUACAUUA